ACGCACUGAAAAGAGAAGUACCAGGGUGCUAGAUUUAAUCGCCGGGGAUGUGUGUGGUCCACCCAGGGGUGAAUGUGCCAUAGGGGUUCGUAGCUGUCGGGUUUUUUGCAUCUCUGUUUUUUAGCUCCUUGGGAUCUAUGUGGAAAUGGUUCAUUGUGGUUGGACUUUUUUAUGCUCCCUUCCAACUCUACAACUCCAUGAUCCUAUGAUUCUCACAGGGGGCUCAAGGGGAAGCCCCCCAGCAGGAUGGGGCGCAAGAUCCCCUCUCUCCCCCUGCGCUUCCUUCCAGCAACUGGGAUUCAGAAGCAUCUCUGGGGAGACAAGAGCUCAGCCCUCCUGCAUGAAGCCAAGCAGAGCCUCUCCUCCUCCUCCCUGCCCUGGUCCCAGCCUGGCCUCCUGGGGCAGGGAGUUCCAUAGGCUUGACUCUGCACUGCACCAAGAAGCGCUUUCUUUUCUCUGCCCCCUCCCUUCUCCAAACAUAUUUCUUUGCUCUCAGGAAGUCUCCAAAAGAUCAGAAGGAACCCCUUGGUUCUCUGUCAAGUUCUGUCUGUCCGAAUGAGAGGUGCUGGCAAACUCUACAAAGGAAAUAUAUUGUUCUGUUAUAAAAUUGACCCGCUGUCAGGAGAAUAGAACGGUUCUCUGAGCAAGUGUGGAUGAGUCUUGCUAGGAACCAGGACUGGACUGCACCACAGGCCAGACUCUGAGCUUUGUUGAAGAAGGAAGGAAGAAGGAAGGAGGAGAAGAAGAAAUCCUCUUUGACCAGGCCAAAAGUGGAGGCAACGGAAGGGAUUUCUGUCCGACGAAGGAGCCUGGUGGCUCCUGCCUCUCGGUGUUUUCAGCCCAGGGAUAGAAGCAGAACAGUGAUGGAGAAGUGAAUCAUUUGUUCCAAGUGUGGACACUAUUGAGGGUCCUCAUCCUGGGCUCCUCAAGAGUUGCUCUCCAUCCCAGCCCCUUCAGGACACAUUUCUGCUUCUAGCACUUUGCAUCUCCAACAUCUCCAGACAGACUCCUGGGGUGGGAUCCCUUUUUCUUGUUCUGAGGGCCAAAUCCUGAUCUGGCCAAGCCCCUGAGGGCCACAUGCAUGAGACUAAGGUUCAUGUGAGCGGGAAAGUGCUAAAAAGCCAGGAAAAGAACAACUCAGUUUCUUUCUGUCACUGCAACUUGUUUUAAAUGGUUUUAAUGGUGUCCUCUUCCCUGGGAACUUAAGGGAAAGCAUGGGUUAUAAAUUAAUAAUAUUAAUAAUAAUAAUAAGUGUUACACAGCUUAACCCCCGCAGAGCCAGAUAUGCGUUGCUAUUUGGAAACCCCUGAGGAGUGGGAUUGCCAAGAGAGAGGGGAAGUGACGGAAAGGGAGCCCCAGUUUUAAGCAGAGAAGGAAGCUGGGCUGCGUCCAAAGGAUUGAACUCAGAACUGAGUAAAGGAAUGAGAGGGAGGAAAGAGGAACCGAGUGAAGCAUUUCACCUCCUCUUCUAGAAAGUGGAACAUCUACCUUUGAUUUUUAGCCAGAGAAGUUGAAGAGAAGCUGUGCGUUUACUUCUUUGUUUUAACGGCUGAAAGCUCUUUAGGUUUAGUGUCAUGAAUAAGUUCACUGUUUCCUGAAAGGACACAACUCCUGACCCUUCUUUGUUUUACCAACUUGGUUUUGUAAAUGAAACCUUUCUUAUCCGUUCAACGUCUCCCUGAGUCUCCAAGCAUCUAAGGUUUCCCUCACACAAAAUCCAAGAGAGAACCUGUGGUGGUUAAAUAUAUAUAUAUCUCUAGGAGUCCUAGAGAGUUGGAGGGUUUGCCUCAAAUGGUGGAAGAGUCAUGACAGGAAGUAUAACUCAGGAGGAGAAUGAAUUCCGGCAGAAAGUUGUCUAUUUUGUGAGGGAAAGAGAGUUCUGUGAGGAGAAGGCCCCACCGUGACCCAGGACUCCUGAAGGGAAGAGAGAGUCAGGCAGAAGCAGAAACGGAGGGAAAACCUCUGAGGGAAUUUCAGUCAGGAGACAAAAUGGAGGAAACCCAAACCUGACAGAGAAGCUCAGGCUUUGAAGAAAACAGAUUCAGUUGGCGGGAAAAAGGCGGACAAGGAAAAAGAGGCUGCGCUGAAGAGAAAACGUCAAAUAUUGUGAGCCAAAACUCAGGCGGAAGAUGC